rnacentral:lncRNA from 1 species
CAUUCCCUGAGCUGGCCUGGGCAGCACGGGAAGUCUUUAAAUCUGGAUUCCACCUUGCAAACCCUUCUCUUGGCUCUGUUGCUUUUACUACAAUUGAGUCUUUCACCCGGGAUGUUCCUCUCUCGUUUUUCUGCAUGGCAAACUCCCACCCAACCUUGAAGACCUGGCUUUUACGUCAUUGCUCUGAAGUAUUGGCCAACACUCUACAGGAGUUAGUUACUCAGCUCUGUGCUCCACAGAAAUUUGUUCAUACAAUGAACACUCAGCAACUCAAGUGAUACAGAUCAGGGAAGGGAGAAAGGAGAGGUCAUAAAUGAGGAUUCCAAAUACCACUUAAAACACAAUUAUUUGUGGGGUAGAUGAUCCUUUUAAGAAGCGAAUGGGGACCUUGGUGUUUAACAUGCAUCUGUUGAACAUGUGAAUAAGUGGAUUGAUGAAUAAACUUAGGAUUUGCUCACCUCUCCAUCAGGACUGUGCCAUUUAGCAUCAACUGCUGGCCUUAUGGAGGUGGGUGCUGGAGAAGUCAGGCUAACAUUGGCUAGCAGUCUGGCCCAAGACAGCCCAAAGAAUCCCAGAGAAUAGAUUGUUAUCUGAAUUGAUGCCUUUGCCUUUUGUUCCUUUCUUGCAUGCCUGGCCCUGAGUACUGAGUCCAGCACUAAGAAGGCAUCCAGGAAACAUUUGCCCACCAUGCCCUGUCUGCCAUUCCGUACUCCUUUCCAGACUUUUCUCUUUCAGGACCUGCACUCAGGUUUCUUCUUCACUCUGGGGUGUCAAUGACUGUCUCCUUCUGGGAUGUCCUUUCUUAAGUUUCAGGCAGAAGCGCUAAUGGCGGCAUUGCUGAGUCCUUUGAGGAGGUCAUAGGGGCCACUGGAUCGUUUCAUGCAUUAUGUAGUCGCUGCUUCCAGGCACAGGAGGUUCUGAACUUCCUACACACCCUGGAUUAGAUUUUCGAAGAAAUGUCUGAAGCACGUUUUCCCACUUACCCCUUUAGGAACCUGCGUUCAUCUUCUCGCUCUCCGGUGGGCUCCCCCACUGACCUGUGGAUGGCUGGUCGUCUGCGAGAGGGCUCGACACUCACCUUCCCCAGAUGUGAUGGGCUUUCCUUCCGGAGGCCAGUGCUCCUUAAGGGUAAAGUGCACACACACAGAUCACUGGAUUCUGGUUUCUGUCAAAGUUGGACAGAGAAAUGAAUCAGGAGGUGGAUUGGAAAUCUGGAAGGCCGGGGUGCUGUUGAACACCCGCAGGAGGGGAAGCUGUCUUCUUGGGCCUCUGCGUGCCCAGUGAGCAUCCUGAAGAUCAAGGAAACAUUCAGCCCAGCUUCCUGGAGCAGCAAUUGGAAGCUGAAGGAAAAGGCCUGUUUGUGCUGUAAGUAGGGGAAGGGGAGGGCAAUUCCCAAAUCAAGGCCAUGCAACAUUAGUUCAAACCAAAACACGGAACAGUUCCCACCUGGCAAAGCAGUUAGAAUCAAACACUCGUACACAUAGCAGAGAGAGAGAGGGGAGGCUAGAGGAAAAAUAGGCCAAGUAAUACGUGUGAAAGGGGAUUGAAGCCAGUAAUGACUCAAAAACGGCUGAGCUGCCGAACCUAUUUAAAAAUCCUCUUAAAAACAGAAGCAAAGAAGAAAAGGAACAUGGACAGGAGUGGCACAGUGAUGACCUUGAAGAAUAAUUAAACCAAAACCAAGUGAGGGGCUAUUUUGCAGCUCAGAGCAUAGAGAAAUCAGGGUGGGAUGGCAGGAUUCUGAAGGCAUUAAGGGAGCUUGUGCUCUCUAAGCUAAUUAGUUCGCACACUUACAGUUAUUUUGGGGAAACGUAAUAGGGAUCUAAGGAUGCUAAGAAGAGAAGGGAAUAUAAAAAGUGGCUUCAAUCUGAAACCAAGACAGAAGCCUUAUGGAAAUGCAGUUCAAUACAGCUGAUGUCAACAUGCAACGGGGGAUGUGAAGGAGGGACCCCAGCAUCCAGAGGGUAAUGGGAUCGUUGGCAAGAACUGUGAUUGAUUUUUUUCAAGAACAAAGCAGGCCCAACAAUUGAUUUUUUCUUGUGCACAGGAAUUGGCCGAAUUUUAAAAGAUAGCAUAAAUCUUUGAACUUUACUCACAGGUUUGGCACCAAGGUUCACAUCAUUUAUUUCGAAGCUGGGGUAGCUUGGCUGUGUGGGCCCUUGUCACAUGGAUGAGUGGCCAGAGGACCAA